UUAUGAUGCCUACAAAUAAACAUGCCAAUGGAAAAAUCAAAUUCAAUCAUUAUGAUUAUCUACUUCAAUCAUUAUGAUUAUCUCAGUAUUUGGAGUUUUUACUCCAAGUCAAACUAAUUUGUAGUCUCUACAUAGUCACAGGCUGACCAGGAUUAAAUUAAAUAUUUAGAUAUUGAUAGAGAGCCUCUGACCCCAGAGGACUUGCAAUCUCCCUGUAACUGUGUCACUUAGAUUGGUUUACACAGAAGAUUGUAAUCAGGAAAGGAGCCAGUCAGAGAACUCCCAUGAAGAGGGAAAAGUUAAGAAGAAUAAGCAUAGGUCUGUGUGCAUGUGUGUGUAUUUUACAUAAGUCACUGAUUCUGAGGACAACUCACCUGAANNNNNNNNNNNNNNNNNNNNNNNNNNNNNNNNNNNNNCAGGAAUCCAGGGGAAAUAUAUUCAUUCCAGGUAAAAUGAACAAAGGAAGCAGAAACAGAAUAGACAGUGCCAACAGAGUAUAUAACAGACCUUCAAGAAGUGAGAGUUACUAUUGCUGUUGUUAUUGUAAUCCAUGUUAAAUCUACCUUCUGUCCUCCUACUGCUCUUGGAAAGAAGUCCCCUUUGAUUUUUCAGAUGAGAUUUUUGGAAUAGAAGGCCAGAAACCAGUGGCAUAUGCAAAUUUGGUAUGUGAAAACUGACAGGAUAUUUCCAAAUCCAUAUGAAUAAUGUGUGUUACAGUUUUCAAAGCUGUGUCAUAGCCUUAUUAAAUCUUCGCAAUAGCCUAUGAGAAGGACAGGAAGGUACAUACUCUUCCCCAUUUUAUAGGGAAGGACACAGAGAAAAAGAAGUUAAUUUUUUGUUUCAAAUAAUACAGAUGGUAAUUAACAAAGCUUGGGCUCAAAAAGAUUCCCUGAUUCCAAGUCUUUCCAUUUGUAAAAUGCACACCAUGUCCCAAGAACUCAUUAUCUCAUUUCUUGGGUACCCCAAGUCCAAGAUCCCAGGGCAUCUGUCUAUGGGUAGAAUAUUUAAUAAGUAGACAAGUAACACCGUAUAUGUAGAUAUGGGUUAGAAAGAUGCAAAUAAAGGAUUUAAAAGAUCACAACUCAUUUAAAUAUAUGAGACAGAGAAAUUAUUACCUUUUACCUAGAGGGAGGGUCUCAAAAUAUUCAUGUACCUUAUUAAUAAAAAUAUUUUAAACAUGAACCAUGUAUAAAUUUAUAUACACAAACAUAAGCACUUUUAAAUUACAUUGACAUAAUUACAUAGAUAAGAAUAAUGAAGUUUUACUAUAAAACUAAUGUAAUAUUAUGUAUGUGAUAAAAUACACACUGAUUUUAUUAUUUUUAUUUUUUAUAGUAAUUUUUAAAGAAUAAAACAACUAUAAAAUAAAAUAUUAUGCUUGUUUUCUUAUAAGCCAGUUAUUUAGCAUGCAUCCUUCUGGGCCAUAUAUACCCCAUUUGAUGACAAUUCACCUAGAGAAUUAUAUCUAAGGUUCCUGGAAUGACAAAGUCCUCCAUAACCUGGCCCCUGUGUAUGUAUGUCUGUGUGUGUUUGCUCCCUUCCCACUAUUGUAAUAUCUCUGCGGGAACCAACAAUGCCAUAUUUCUCUUUUCAUCUCUCUCUGCUCCUUGUUCUCUGAGACAUUUUACCAAUGGGUUAACCAGACAUUUUGCUCCAAAGGGAUGUUUGCUCUAUGGAAAAAGGAAUUAAUUUCAUCAUAUGUUUUGCUUUUUAAAAAAUUUUUCAGUUUAAGUACAAGCCAGAGAAAGAUUUGAAAAAAAAUAUCUUAAGAAUGAGUUCUCCCUACCAUAGUAGACAUAAGAACACCCUGGGCAAGAGAAGGGAAAAGAAGAGAGUUGGAGAGAAAAAAAGAAAAGUAGAUGCUAGUUGUUUUAUGAGGAGAGGUCCUGAUGGGAUAUUAUUUCAUGGGCAGAAAUAGCAAAGGCAGACUCACCUAAUAUCUUGAGGCCUCAGAGGGCAGCAUGAUUGUGACCACAAUUUUCCUGUCCCUUAAAAGAAUAUGGCAGUUAGCUGAGAAAGAGAGCCAGUCAUGGCAGGGAGAUAGCUCAGUGAAAAACAUGGACCAUAUGGCCUUAAACUAGCCUGGUGAACACAUCAGCUCAUGCCCAUGAGUAAAAGACCUCCAGACCCAAAGUCUGUGCAGACAAGGUUGUACAUACAGUUAACAACAAUGUAUACAGACAUGCAUGCUUCAUGAACAUGUGGGAGCAUGGAUCCCUGCAGGGGAAGUAAAAGGGGAGAAAUAAUCCUAAAAUGAAAUGGAUGGAGAAAAACUGGGAUUAACAUGGUUAACUUUUCUAUGCUCAAAUAGGAAGGGGAUUAAAUCCAUCUGUUCAAAAGAAUGACUAAGAAGAGAUUAAGCUUUCAUUCCCUGGAUGCAUCUUCCCACAAAAUAGAGUGUAAGCCAGUCCUUUUGAGCUUUAAAACUAGCAUAAUCUUCUCUUCCUUACUGACAUAUGCUCUAUUGAACAUCUUUUCUCAAAAUAGACCAGUUUCGCCCACGUUGAAAAUCU
rnacentral:lncRNA from 1 species